AUUGAACGCUGGCGGCAGGCCUAACACAUGCAAGUCGAACGAGUGGCGGACGGGUGAGUAAUGUCUGGGAAACUGCCUGAUGGAGGGGGAUCACUACUGGCAACGGUAGCUAAUACCGCAUACCAUCGGAUGUGCCCAGAUGGGAUUAGCUUGUUGGGGGGGUAACGGCGCACCAAGGCGACGAUCCCUAGCUGGUCUGAGCGGAUGACCAGCCACACGGGAACUGAGACACGGUCCAGACUCCUACGGGAGGCAGCAGUGGGGAAUAUUGCACAAUGGGCGCAAGCCUGAUGCAGCCAUGCCGCGUGUAUGAAGAAGGCCUUCGGGUUGUAAAGUACUUUCAGCGGGGAGGCGUGACCCGCAGAAGAAGCACCGGCUAACUCCGUGCCAGCAGCCGCGGUAAUUC
rnacentral:rRNA from 1 species